UGCUGAGGCACUGUGUCUGUAUUGUUCCAUGGAGAGCGCUGCCAGUCCCACUGGAUUUAUCUCCCUGAUUUCCUGGAUGCUGAGCUUGUUGCCAUUAUAAUUCAAUGUCCUGCCUCCAUCCCUCUGGUCGGGGUGCAUGCCACGGAAAUUGUUUAUGUUGUGGAAUUACCUCCUGACAUUGAUGCAUGGGGGAAUUAUUCCAAAAAAACCCUGAAAAAUACAGUGCGUGCUGAAAGAAAUUCAGGGAACUAACCAGGAUAAGGGAAACCUUCCAGCCUGGCCAGAAGUAGCUCCAAGGAUUUGUGUCAUCCAGGAAGUCUCUCCAAGGAUUUGUGUCAUCCAGGGGCAAUUGUGUGGUGCUGGGCAAAGAUUCCUGCAGGACAGUCACACUUGGAAUUCCAGUAGAUUAGCCUAUCAUCAAGUCAUCAGGAUCCUGCUAUUGGAAUAAACACAGCUGUUGUUUUCCAAGAAAUGUGGCAAAGAGCACUCGGGCUUUCUGGAAAGGCCUUUUUGCAACAGAGGGAAACCCAAACCCAUCCCAUAUCCGAGUGUCACUCACGACUUUCUAAAUUGAUGGUGGAUAUGGACAGCAAUUUCCCUAUUCCUCACAGCUUUUUAUAGCCAAACUGGAAAUCAUCCUGCUCUCCCCAUUCCUUAUGGGAAACGCGGCACAAGGAUGGAUUGGGCCCAGGCAAGAGUGCUGGAAAUAAGGAGUGGAAGGAUUGUCCUGGUGGUGGGAGGAGUGCAACAAAAGCCUGGGAUCCAAAAACCUGGAUAAAUUUGUGCUGCCACCUGAGGACUUUUGGGAGAUACCAAAGGAUGGAAUUAGAAGCUUUUAACACUAUUCAAAAGCUAUGCCCUAUCCUGCAUGGAUUGAGAAGAAGAGGAAUCAAAUUAUUUUCCUUGGACAUUACUCAAUGGAUCUUGCACUGAACAGUCUCUCUUUUGCUUUCAAGCUCAUUAAUAAAAACUUCCAACUUCUUCA
rnacentral:lncRNA from 1 species